GAGAGAGAGAGAGAGAGAGAGAGAGAGAGAGAGAGAGAGAGAGAGAGAGAGAGAGAGAGAGAGAAUAUUGGCAAGUCUUAACAUUAUAGUAAAGGAAGGAAGGAAGGAAAGUAGAAACGAAAAAAAUAGUAAGGAAAGAAGGAAGGAAAGAAGGAUAAAAUGAAGGAAGGAAAGAAUUAAAAAUGAAGGAAGGUAGGAAGGAAAGAAGGAAGAAAGGAAGUAAAUAUAGAAGAAAGGAAGAAGUGAGAGAGAAGGAGGAAGAGAGGAAGAGAGAAGGAAAACAGAAUGGAGUGAAAGUAAGAAAGACAGGAAGAAAUGCAGAAGGAAGAGAAGAAAGAGAAGGAGGAAAAGGAAGGAGAGGAGGAAAUGGACGAAAUGAAUGGAGGAAAAAAGAUGGAAAGAGGAACGACAUAGAGGAAAAAAAGAUAGAAGAGGAGGAAAAGAGGGAGAGAAAAAGUAUGGAAGGAAGAGAAACACGAAAGAAGGAUGAAAUGGAGAAAAGAUAAAUCAGUUGGAGAGUGAACAUUGAAAUAGGGAAAGGAAAGAAGAGAGGUCAGACAGGAAUAAAAUAAAUGAUGAGAAGCGAGAGAUGAACACGGUACAAGAACAACGAUGGACAGAGAAGCACAACAACAGUGAAGAAUAUUAUGUGGAAAAGAGGAAAAAAACACUGAGACGAGAGAACACUGAACAUAAAGAGGAAAUAAGCAAAAAUGAGAGAAUUAAGCAACAGGAACACGAAGACGAGGUUGAAAUAGAGGAGAUAAACGAGAAUGAAAGAAAUGGGAAAUACGAAAACGAAAAUGAAUAUAAAAGAUAAGGAUGAAAGAGAUAAGCAAGAAUGAGAAAAAUAAAGAGGAAAUAAGCAAAAAUGAGAGAAAUAAGCAACAGGAACACGAAGACGAGGUUGAAAUAGAGGAGAUAAACGAGAAUGAAAGAAAUGGGAAAUACGAAAACGAGAAUGAAUAUAAAAGAUAAGGAUGAAAGAGAUAAGCAAGAGUGAGAAAAAUAAAGAGGAAAUAAGCAAAAAUGAGAGAAAUAAGCAACAGGAACACGAAGACGAGGUUAAAAUAGAGGAGAUAAACGGGAAUGGAAGAAAUGAGAAAUACGAAAACGAGAAUGAGAUUAAAAGAUGAGGAUGAAGAAAAAAGGAGCAAGAAUGAAAGAAAUUAGAAAAAAAAGAACACGAGGUUGAAAAAAAAGAGAAGAUAAACAAGAAUGAAAAUAGAAAUAAGAUGAAGAUAUGAGACCAAAAAAUGAGGAUUGAGAAGAGAUAAACCACAAUGAAAGAAAUGAGAAAUAAGAAGAUGAAGAGUUAAGAAAAAAGACGAGAAUGAAAAAAAGAUAAACAAGAAUGAGAGAAAUGAUAAAUAAGAAGACGAAGAUACGAGAACAGAAGACGAAGAAGAAAAAAACCCCGCUAUAUUUAAGAACAGACGAAAAGAUAGAAACCGAAAAAUAAAGGGAAAAUAGGAACAUGUAAAAGGAAAAUGGGUAAAGAAAAUGGGAAAGGAAAAUGUAAAAAGAAAAUGGGAAAGGAAAACGGGAAAGGAAAAUGUAAAAAGAAAAUGGGAAAGGAAAACGGGAAAGGAAAAUGUAAAAGGAAAAUAGGAAAGGAAAAUAGAAAAGGAAAAUGGGAAACGAAAAUGGGUAAAGAAAAUGGGAAAAGGAAGAUGAGAAAUAGAAAACGGGAAGAGAAAAAUAGAAAAGGAGAAUGGGAAACGAAAAUGGAAAAGGAAAACGGAAAAAGAAAAUGGGAAAAACGAAAAUGGGUAAGGAAAAUGGGAAGUAGAAAACGGGAAAGGAAAAUGGGAAAGGAAAAUGAGAAAACGGGAGAGGAAAACGGGAAAGGAAAAUGAGAAAAACGAAAACGGGAAAGGAAAACGGAAAAGGAAAAUGGGAAAGGAAAAUGAGAAAGGAAAACGGGCAAAAAUUCAAUAAUCCUUUAAAGAUGGAGAAAAAACAGCUUAGCCGUGAAUAUUAAUUAAUAAAUGCAUCUUUGGGGAGGUGGGGGGGGGGGGUCACAUUUCCUUUUGAAGAUUUUAAUUACUUUUUUUUCAGAAUGGUACGAGUGAAGGCGAGUGCGUGUGUACAGACUUAAGAAACCAACACACACACGUACACACAACCUUCCCGUUCAUGUAUGUAUUCCACGUUCAUAUACUUUCAAAACCUUUACUUCUAUGUAUGAUAAAAACGAAGUAAUGUAUGUUGUAGUAGUAGUAGUAGUAGUAGUAGUAGUAGUAGUAGUAGUAGUAGUAGUAGUAGGAGGAGGAGGAGGAGGAGGAGAAGGAGGAGGAGGAAAAGUAGCAGUAGUUAUAGGAGGAGAAGGAGGAGAAGGGAGGAGAGAAGAUGGUUAAGAAGGAGGAGGAGGAAGAGCAGGAAGAAGAGGAGGAGGAGCAAUACAUAGUUACGAUAAUAAUAAUAAUAAUAAUAAUAAUAAUAAUAAUAAUAAUAAUAAUAAUAAUAAUAAUAAUAAUAAUAAUAAUAAUAAUAAUAAUAAUGAGAACUAUUAUAAUUUCCCCUUUAAAAAUUUUCCUCUUAUAUACUUUCUUUUGCUUAGAUCUUCCUUACUUUUCUUUCUCACAAUCACGAAUCACAAUUGUUUAUUUCCUCUUUCUGGACUUGAUGGUUACUACAUGUAUUAGCUUUGUUAUUGUUCUACAUCAAAUGCUACGUUAAUAAAAUACCAUGAAAGAACCGUAGCUCAAAAUAGAUGAAAAAAAUAAUAAAUAAAAUAAUAAAUCACGUAGGGGAAAAUAGAACAGGAAAGCGUGAGGGAAGGAGAAGAUAGAAAACUGAGAAAUCAACUAAAGAUUAAAACAACAACGAUGGAAAUCAUAAUUAUAACACAUGGAAAGCUUUAUGUUUGUUAUUCAGGCGAAAAAAUAAAGAAAACCGAACGGAACGUAAAAAGAUACAUUUUUUUUAGGUUAUUGGUGUUACUUAUUUACCGUUGUAAGGUGUGAGUGAACGUGUGAAGGCCCGCCCAAAGCCCUCGCCAGCCUGUACAAGGAGGGAAUACUGCGAUGGCUAAAAAUAAUAAAAAUAAUAGUAAUAACAAUAAUAACAAUAAUAAUAAUGAAAUAACAAUACCAAUGCGUUUUGUUAAGAGUAUCGGCAAGAUAAUCUUAUUUUUUGGCAUCAGUAAUGGACCGUAUUGGCUAUUCACUCAACUCCGAGCUGAAUUUUCCAUAGAGUUCAAGUUAUAGACUAGAGUGCGUCCGAGGCUGCCUCAGGGAUACACGGCCAUGGUGCCGCCGUCGCCCCAAGCCGAUGAUUGCACACACUUCACUCCUACCCGAUUUCAGUUUUUCUCCAUGUCAAAUAGUAGAGUCAGGAAAUCGGGUAGGAGUAAAGUGUGUGCAGACGUUGGCUUGGAGCGGUGGCGGCACCAAGGCCUUGUAUCCUGGAGGCAGCCUCGGACGCACUCUAGUACAUAAUUUGAGUUCUAUGUAUCUAGUACUGCUUUGACAGUUCACUGAGUGGCCACGUGUGGCGCUGCCUGUAUAGCCAAUACGGUCCAUUCCACGAGACACUUGACAAUUAUAUGCAGCUGAAUGAAAAUAGAUAAAAAAUAAAAUAAUAAUAGUAAUGAUAAUAGUAAUGGCGGGCUUUGGGUGGGUCUGAGAGGGAAUGUUAAAAUGUUAGUUGAAUCACCAUUUAAAAUAAUUAUUCGCCGGGAGCAGCAUUACAAAUACGGGCCUUCCACGGAGCAGGAACUUCGUCAUUUAAAUGUAUUCUGACUUUUCUUUGUUGAUCUUAAACUUUUACUUCGAUCUGAUUACUUUUUUUCACAGGGAGAACAAACAAAACACACUAAAUGCUGAGUAUGAUGGAUGUGUGUGUGUGUGUGUGUGUGUGUGUGUGUGUGUGUGUGUGUGUGUGUGUGUGUGUUCGGGUUUUUCCUUAUUUGCAUGGUUUCACUUGAUGAGUUAUAAGAUCGCACUUUCUCGACUUUCAAAAUCCAAUCUGUAGUGUGUCUGGUAGAAUGUGUGUGUGUGUGUGUGUGUGUGUGUGUGUGUGUGUGUGUGUGUGUGUGUGUGUGUGUGUGUGUGUGUGUGUGUGUGUCAUCCACCCCUGCGCUGCCUCGCGGGAGGGCCACAUUUGCACGGCAGUUCCCUCGCUUGUCUUUUACAAUACGUACUGACAGACAGAAGAAAGUCGAAAUAUAUGUCUAUGAAAAUGUGGCGAAAAUUAUUCUGCCUAUAUCGUGCAUAUGGCUCUGACGUACACAUGUGUGUAUAUAUAUGUAGGUAUUUAUAUGUACAUAUGUAUAUACACAUAAUCAGUAUACAUAUAAGCAGUAAACUGUCUACAUUGCUUGUCGAUGAGAGAAAAUAAUAAUACAAUACACUUCUCGUCUUUUACAAAGGUUUGCUGCUUAACAUAAAAUCCAUUUAUCUUAGAACCUAAAGAAAAGCAUAAAAUCUGCUUAUUGAACAUCAAGCAAACGCCUUUUCACGUAAAAAUUAGAACACAAUACUUCUUCCCUUUAGAACCUCUCCCUCACUGUGCUGUCUUUCAUGUUGUCCUCAAUGAUGAUAAUAAUAAUAAUAAUAAUAAUAAUAAUAAUAAUAAUAAUAAUAAUAAUAAUAAUAAUAAUAAUAAUAAUAAUAAUAAUAAUAAUAACAAUGACAACAACAACAACAACAACGGAACAACCCCUCUCAUAAGAUCAAAAUUUAACAUCCUCGACAAUGUCUUGAUAUGCAGUUAAUAUCAAGUAAUAUAAAAUAAAACUUAGACAGAAUAAAGUUGUUUAUGAAUAAGUAAUUAAAUGCAUAUAAAUGUCUUCAUGAAAUGCCUUCCGUUUUUUCUCACUCUUGAAAUGGCUUAAACAUAUGUCUUAUAAAAGUUAGUCUUACAGAUUGCAGUAAAUAAUAAUAAAAAAUAAUAAUGAUAAUAACACUAAUAGUAAUAAAUGGUAAAAUAUAACACAAAACAGAAAAUAAAGGCAAAUCAAACACAUUACGUUUUCUGUCGCAGCGUCCAGGGGGUGGUGAAGCAGUCCGCCGUGGAGCACAGAAACACGCCGGCCCGCGAAUUGGUUGUAAUGAACUGGUCGCCUGCCCCGCCCUGCCGCCGCCCGCCCGCCCGCCCUCGGCCUGCUAACGCUACACUAGGCUACGAACGAAACAAGAGCCACAAACACCUCGUCCACCUGCCGCGGGUCACCUGAACACAUGAUAAUUAUAACGCCUUAAAUUUUACCUUAACCUGCUGUAUUUUAUUUUUUUUAGUCCUUAAUCUUAUCGUGUUGACGUUCCUCACUCACCCUGUAUCACAGCCAUCAUGAAUUAACAAAGAUUUAGUUUAUACUCACAUCACUAUCAUUCUGUAAAGUAUAAUUAUUAGCUUUACCUCCUAAUCUUAACUCUUACUUUACGGAUUCUUGCCUUAUGGAUAGGAUAUACAUGUAUACAUAGAUAAAAUUUACUCCUCGAUUUCACUAGUCACGGAGAGAAGGGUUGAAACACACACACACAGCCAAAUACGAUCACGGAUGUAAGAUUAAGUUAAGUUCCGAACUCUGCCUGUGGACGUGACUUGGGCCUCGCGGUCACUAACACACCGAACUCUCGUCCUCUCCCUCGCUCCUUCGUCACCGUUGAUGGCAGCGUGGCCGAGCACCCUGUCAGGCCUGUCAUCACUACAACACCCUGGCGGCGUGCAUCAGUCUGUUUAGAUGAGUCUGAAUGGUUAGAAUGAUGCCUAGCCUCCACUCUCUCGCUCACAACUAACCAUACGUGCCUUCUCACUCCCCUCUUAUGGUAAACUCGUAUGGAAGGCUCCUCUCACCUUUUCCUUCCAUUGCAUAUCGUAUAACUUGGAUAGGCUUCCCACUAUCCCUUUUCCUUCCUCCUCUCGCUGUAUAGCAUUGGUUAAUAAUGAAGUUACACAUCUCAGUAAUACGGAAAGACAAGAAGUGAAUGACAAAAGAUAUCAAAAGUGGACUUCCAUCUCGUCAAAACACGAUCAUGAAUUAAAGGUUUUGUGUCCAUAUUCUUAAACUUAUCAGGCUCCAAUUACGAUUAUUUGCUAUGCCACAGAGAAGACUGACCGGGUUUCCAUGGGUGACUAUCACGUUCAAGAUGCAGGAGUCGUGUAAAACUAUCAAUAUGAUCACAAAACAGUCCAUGGAAAUCCCGGCAACUUCUAGAAGAGGCUUUCAAACAAGCGAACUGAAGCGCCGAGACGUUUAAGAAGACGGUUAUGGAUUCCGAGAGGCGAAACAACGAAGGUUAGUCUUGCUUAGGGUGAGAAAGACUAGCCUCCCCUGCUAAAUGACGCCCUCGGACAGAACUCGAACCCUGGUGCCAAUAUAUCGAGAGUUGCGCUAUAUAGCCACUGUGCCACCUAGCCAUGAGGGAGGGAGGGGGGGUGGGAGCCGGGAAGGGGGUGACUGAUAUAAAUGGUACUUCAUCUACAGGCCGUAUUUUGAAACAUUUCGUCGCCCAAGUUCACAUAUUUGACAUGGCUUUCGUAGGAGCUGUAGGCCUUUCCAGGGGUAGUUUUAUGACCCUGGUGGUAGUUUGACCCUUCUUCUGUGCCAUGAACCUUAAAGAACACUCAUGAAAACUCGAUUGAUCUCCUCUUUGACCUUUAUAAAUAGUUGAUGUGAAAAGCGAUGGUGUCUUAAAAUACGGCCCUAAGACUCUAAACAGACUAGUGGCACGCUCUUACCCUCGUUAUCACCAUCAUCAUCAUCUCUAACGCUAGCAUCAUCACAAUCUUGCAACAAACGCUCUGAUCAUCUUACACAAGUCUUAUAACCGAAACUUUUCCCGAAUUUGGAUGGUCUAUGACAAAUAUGGCAUCAUCAUCAUCAUCAUCAUCAUCACCAUCAUCUUCACCGUAACAAAUUACUUAUGGUAUUUGAUUUCACAGCCUCACCAUCACAAGAAUUAUUAUUUUUUUUUUACACCUAAAAGAUUAAGAUCACCACCAAUGCUUUUUUUAUGGUAAGUUUUUUUAGGGGGUGUCAUUAUCAUCA